rnacentral:tRNA from 1 species
GGCAACGUGCCUGAGUGGUUAAAGGGUAUGACUAGAACUCAUCAAUUGGAUCUUCUGGUCCACUUGACCAGGCAAUCAUAUGGCUUCGGCCUCACAGGUUCGAAUCCUGUCGUUGUCG